rnacentral:lncRNA from 1 species
AUGGAAUGCAAGCAAGCCAUAUGCCCUUCUGAGGUGAGGCAACUACAAGGCUGUACAAUUCUUUCACCUAAAACAAGAGGAAAGAGUGAUAAAGGCAGUCACAAUGCACCUGAAAUUAAGGAGAUAUUUUAUAGAGAAGAAGAGUUGGAAUAUCUUGAUGAGGGUUCCUUGGAAGAAUCUCAAAGCUGCAGUCACAAUGCACCUGAAAUUAAGGAGAUAUUUUAUAGAGAAGAAGAGUUGGAAUAUCUUGAUGAGGGUUCCUCGGAAGAAUCUCAAAGCUAUGGUAUCAAUGUUCCAGAAUCCCGAGAAACCAUCUCCAGCUCUCUGGUGUUAUGGAUAUCACCAUAUUCAUUAAAAUUGUACCAUAGAGGCAGUUCCCUCAAAAGUGACUUUUCAUGGUCUAAUAAGAAUUAUGUGCCUACAAUACAAAUGGGCUGGAAAGUUCACUGUUGGAAAGACUCUUUCCAUCUCUACGUGUGUCAUAUGCAGCACCAUAUGAUUACUUCCACCAUGAGACAGCGUUAUUUUCUUCCAGAUAUUGAUAACAUAGAAGACACAGAUACUGAAAAUGCACAAAAAGGUGUGGAUAGUCAAUCUGAAUCAACUCAUCUAGAAUACUGGGACCUGAGAAAUAAAUCGUCUACUGUUUCUCCUGUGGUCAACAUACUUCUGGUCCCAGAACAAAAAACAGAAGAUAAAUAA